rnacentral:rRNA from 1 species
CGACGAUGAUGCCCAGCUUGCUGGGUGGAUUAGUGGCGAACGGGUGAGUAACACGUGAGUAACCUGCCCUUGACUUCGGGAUAACUCCGGGAAACCGGGGCUAAUACCGGAUAUGAGCCGUCCUCGCAUGGGGGUGGUUGGAAAGUUUUUCGGUCAGGGAUGGGCUCGCGGCCUAUCAGCUUGUUGGUGGGGUGAUGGCCUACCAAGGCGACGACGGGUAGCCGGCCUGAGAGGGCGACCGGCCACACUGGGACUGAGACACGGCCCAGACUCCUACGGGAGGCAGCAGUGGGGAAUAUUGCACAAUGGGCGCAAGCCUGAUGCAGCGACGCCGCGUGAGGGAUGAAGGCCUUCGGGUUGUAAACCUCUUUCAGCAGGGAAGAAGCGCAAGUGACGGUACCUGCAGAAGAAGCGCCGGCUAACUACGUGCCAGCAGCCGCGGUAAUACGUAGGGCGCAAGCGUUGUCCGGAAUUAUUGGGCGUAAAGAGCUCGUAGGCGGUUUGUCGCGUCUGGUGUGAAAACUCGAGGCUCAACCUCGAGCUUGCAUCGGGUACGGGCAGACUAGAGUGCGGUAGGG